rnacentral:tRNA from 1 species
GGUGUUACAGCUCAGUGGUAUAGCCUUUGCCUAGCAUGUAUGAAGCCCUGGGUUUGAUCCCCAGCACCA